rnacentral:rRNA from 1 species
AAUCAACGCUGGCGGCGUGCCUCAGACAUGCAAGUCGAACGAUUAAAGCUCUCUUCGGAGAGUGUAUAGAGUGGCGCACGGGUGAGUAACACGUAAGUAAUCUACCCUCGAGUGGGGAAGUAACGUCCGGAAACGGACGCUAAUACCGCAUAAUGCAGCGGCACCGCAAGGUGACAGUUGUUAAAGAUUUAUCGCUUGAGGAGGAGCUUGCGGCAGAUUAGCUAGUUGGUAAGGUAAUGGCUUACCAAGGCUACGAUCUGUAACCGGUCUAAGAGGACGGUCGGUCACACUGACACUGAAUAACGGGUCAGACUCCUACGGGAGGCAGCAGUCGGGAA